GUUCAGAGAAGUUGAAAAGGUUGGAUCUUUCGUCUUUUUAUACUGCUGAGAGGGAAUUGUAUUUGGAGCUUGAUUGUCCUAAUCUAGUUUGGUUGGGCAUUGAUUGCUUUGAGAUGGGGCAGUUUUGUGUUAAGAAUCUGUCUUCAUUGAUUGAACUCCGUACUUCUAUUGUGCAUAAAUUGAAGUACUAUGGACACUAGUUUAAAGUUGUGAAGCAACUUCAUCGAAUUGCACACAUCAAGCAUCUCGCGGUGCAAAAAUUGUGGCGUAAGGGUUUGAAUCGUCUUAGAGUGACUGUGGGAAAGUGCAUUAUCUAGAGGUGGAAGAAAGACUAAGAAUAAUGUUCCCUGGCUUGCUAAGAAAUGUUGAGAUAAGUCGGACUGGCAAAGUCUCUGGGUUACAUUUGAGAUUUUCAUGAAAUGUUUUGUUCAUCAUCCUUACGAGGUUUGUUUUCUGCUGGAUAGAUCAUCUUAAAGGAGCUGAUCAGCCGGAAUGGCUAUGUGACAUUUUUGUCAGUAAAAUUUCCCUAGCAACUAAAUGAACUCUAAGCUCACAAAAUUGUAAUCAAUGCUCUGAUAUGUCCUUUAGGAAACCAGAGGUCGAGGACAUGGUAACAGCUCAGUUCCAUUCUAUAAUCCUUCUCUGCAUUCAUUAUAUUGCCUAUCCAUUUUUGAGGAUCCAUUUUGAGUACCAGAGAUUCACUGUGUGGACUGUGAAGCCAUUCAUGUGGCCAGAAUCUAGGAAAUUAUGUGGAAUGUGUUUUGUAUAAUAUGUUUGGCUAUCAGAUUCUUUCCACAAAGUAGUGAAAAGGGCUCUGCGUUGCCUGUUGAAUACUUUUUUUAA